rfam:Capsicum annuum cultivar Zunla-1 chromosome 3, whole genome shotgun sequence
UAUUAAUGAUGUGGACAGUCUCAAAGAAAAUCUUUAAACCUUUCUCAUGCAUCAUAUAGGUUCUCAUCUGGCUUCUGUUUGAAGCACACAAUCUCACUGCAUAGUCU